CGUGUAGGCGGUUAGGUAAGUGGGACGUGAAAUCCCUCGGCUCACCCGAGGACCUGCGUCCCAAACUGCCUAGCUUGAGUAUGGGAGAGGAUGAGGGAAUUCCUGGUGUAGCGGUGAAAUGCGUAGAUAUCAGGAGGAACACCGGUGGCGAAGGCGCUCAUCUGGCCCAAUACUGACGCUGAGGCGCGAAAGCUAGGGAGCAAACG
rnacentral:rRNA from 1 species